rnacentral:SRP_RNA from 1 species
GCCAGGCUUGGUGGCGUGUGCCUGUAGUCCCAGCUACUCUGGAGGCUGAGGCUGGAGGAUCUCUUGAGCCCAGGAGUUCUGGGCUGUAGUGUGCUAUGCUGAUCCGGUGUCCGCACUAAUUUCGGCAUCAAUAUGGUGACCUCCCGGGAGCGGGGGACCACCAGGUUGCCUAAGGAGGGGUGAACUGGCCCAGGUCGGAAAUGGAGCAGGUCAAAGCUCCUGUGCUGAUCAGUAGUGGGAUCGCGUCUGUGAAUAGCCACUGUACUCUAGCCUGGGCAACAUAGCGAGACCCCCAUCUCU